rnacentral:rRNA from 1 species
UACGUAGGGACCGAGCGUUGUCCGGAUUCAUUGGGCGUAAAGAGCUCGUAGGCGGCCACUCAAGUCGAAUGUGAAACCUCGAGGCUUAACCUCGAGCCUGCAUUCGAUACUGGGCGGCUAGAGUCUGGUAGGGGGAUCUGGAAUUCCUGGUGUAGCGGUGGAAUGCGCAGAUAUCAGGAAGAACACCGGUGGCGAAGGCGGGAUCCUGGGCCAGUACUGACGCUGAGGAGCGAAAGCGUGGGGAGCAAACAGG